rnacentral:rRNA from 1 species
UGGGGAAUUUUGCGCAAUGGGGGAAACCCUGACGCAGCAACGCCGCGUGAGUGAUGAAGGCCUUCGGGUCGUAAAGCUCUGUCAGAGGGGAAGAAAUGGAAACGGUUAAUACCCGUUUUUCUUGACGGUACCCUCAAAGGAAGCACCGGCUAACUCCGUGCCAGCAGCCGCGGUAAUACGGAGGGUGCAAGCGUUGUUCGGAUUUAUUGGGCGUAAAGCGCGUGUAGGCGGUCUUUUAAGUCUGAUGUGAAAGCCCUGGGCUCAACCCAGGAAGUGCAUUGGAUACUGGAAGACUUGAAUACGGGAGAGGGUAGUGGAAUUCCUAGUGUAGGAGUGAAAUCCGUAGAUAUUAGGAGGAACACCGGUGGCGAAGGCGGCUACCUGGACCGAUAUUGACGCUGAGACGCGAAAGCGUGGGGAGCAAACA